ACAACAACCUUAGGAGCGUCGGUCUACCGAGCAAUAUCACCUGCUCGGUGGAAGAUCUUCCCUUUGUCGUAUACC
rnacentral:pre_miRNA from 1 species